CACAUGGGGGGAACCUGACUCCUUACAUGCCGCGUGUGUGAAGAAGGCCUUAGUGGUUGUAAAGCACUUUACAGCGAGGAGGAGGCUAUUAUAGAUAAUACCUAGAGAUACGUGGACGUUACUCGCAGAAUAAGCAGCCAGGCUAACUCUGUGCCAGCAGCCGCGGUAAUACAGAGGGUGCAAGCGUUAAUCGGAUUUACUGGGCGUAAAGCGCGCGUAGGCGGCUAAUUAAGUCAAAUGUGAAAUCCCCGAGCUUAACUUGGGAAUUGCAUUCGAUACUGGUUAGCUAGAGUGUGGGGGAGGAUGGUAGAAUUCCAGGUGUAGCGGUGAAAUGCGUAGAGAUCUGGAGGAAUACCGAUGGCGAAGGCAGCCAUCUGGCCUAACACUGACGCUGAGGUGCGAAAGCAUGGGGAGCAAACAGGAUUAGAUACCCUGGUAGUCCAUGCCGUAAACGAUGUCUACUAGCCGUUGGGGCCUUUGAGGCUUUAGUGGCGCAGCUAACGCGAUAAGUAGACCGCCUGGGGAGUACGGUCGCAAGACUAAAACUCAAAUGAAUUGACGGGGGCCCGCACAAGCGGUGGAGCAUGUGGUUUAAUUCGAUGCAACGUGAAGAACCUUACCUGGCCUUGACAUAGUAAGAACUUCCAGAGAUGAUUGGUGCUUCGGGAACUUCAUACAGGUGCUGCAUGGCUGUCGUCGCUCGUGUCGUGAGAUGUUGGUUAGUCCGCACGAGCGCAACCUUUC
rnacentral:rRNA from 1 species